rnacentral:rRNA from 1 species
UCGGGAAUUUUGGGCAAUGGGCGAAAGCCUGACCCAGCAACGCCGCGUGAAGGAUGAAGUAUUUCGGUAUGUAAACUUCGAAAGAAUAGGAAGAAUAAAUGACGGUACUAUUUAUAAGGUCCGGCUAACUACGUGCCAGCAGCCGCGGUAAUACGAAGGGAGCUAGCGUUGUUCGGAAUCACUGGGCGUAAAGCGCACGUAGGCGGAUUGUUUAGUCAGGGGUGAAAUCCCGGAGCUCAACUUCGGAACUGCCUUUGAUACUGGCAAUCUCGAGUCCGAUAGAGGUGGGUGGAAUUCCUAGUGUAGAGGUGAAAUUCGUAGAUAUUAGGAAGAACACCGGUGGCGAAGGCGGCCCACUGGAUCGGUACUGACGCUGAGGUGCGAAAGCGUGGGGAGCAAACAGGAUUAGAUACCCGGGUAGUCCCUGAGCGGGCUGGCAAGGCGCAU